UGCAGCUACACCCAAUUCACUCCUCAUCCAGCCCGUGCUGGGGCCUGGCCAAACAGCUGCCACAGCAGGAUCUGUAGCUGCUGAGCCUCACUGUCCCCUCUGCUUGGACCCUGGGGACAGCUAAAUGCUGCAGACAGCA